GACAUUUUCAUUUCCAAAAUUCGGAGGGAGGAGCAAAAUCUACUAGCAGUUCCUAUAGUGUGGGUAUGUGAAAAAGUCAUAUUUGUUUAGCAUCAAUCUGAGUGGGUGAGAACCGUUGUGGAAAGGCUCUCCUGCCCUUCUGCUCUGAGCUCUGUGUUUCCUUCUGCUGCCCUUUACUUGCCCUCUCAGGGCCCUUCCCCCUGUCCCCCACAUUAGUUCUUCUUCCUUCAUAGAAGCUCAGAAGGAGGAAGAACAGUACCAGGGCCCUGCCCCUCCUACCAUCUCCCUGGGGGCCAGGUGGAGGGUUGACAGCUCCCUGUGUCGUCUCAUUUUGAGUAACAAGAGAGGACCAGCAUGGCCCCAGAAAUCCUAUUGCUGCUGCUGCUGUCACUAGGAAACUCAGGCAAGCCAGGGAGGACUUGGGCUGAGCUCCAGUACCAGGAGUUGAGACCGAGGUCUCCAGACUACAGGAGACCAGAACAGGCUGAGGAAGAGUACAGACGACUGGAAGGGGAGACGUUCAGUGUGAACUGCUCCUACGAGUCCCAGGAGCAUGAACAUAGAUGGAUGUCUUGGUGUAAAAAGCAAGAGAAUGGAGACGAGUGUGGCAUACCACGCUUAGAAACAAGCUCCAACUUUUCCGUGGCAGGCAAUGAAUAUUUGUCCGCUUAUGAUAAUAAUAGUGGCAUUAUCACCAUCACUAUCACAAAGUUCAGUCUCAGAGUAAAGGAUUCAGGUGACUAUGAGUGUGUGAUGCCUGAAGAACCUGAUAAGAGGAAAGAAGUCUUCAGGAGAUUCCACCUAGUGGUGUCCCCAGGUGAUGACUCUGAGACCCAGGGAGAGAAGUCAAAGGGCUCUGCAAUGAAGAUGGAGAGUGAUGAGGAUGCUGAAGACAUCCAUUAUGCCAUAGUGUCCAACAGAAGCCCCAGAGAGCUGAUCAAUACCAAAACUCAUACUCCUAUUGAGUCUGUGGAAUACGCUACCAUAACAAGGAAUUGAUGUCAGCUGCCCAAAUCAAAUGCUCCUCAGAAUCCAAUGUGGAGGGACUAGGAGAGUUCACUAUCAGCAAUGUUGGUGAAUCAUGUCUCCUUCAGCAAAGAAGUGGUAGAACAAAAAUGUAUGGAAAUGAGAAAUAUGUUAUUAGACAAGGACCAUAUAUAGAUUUGUUUUGCUUAGCUAUAUUUCUUUGUUGGGAGGGAGGGUUCUAUAGGAUUUUUUUGAGGGGGGUAGUAAGAAAUGGUAGCAUUGUAAAAAAGCCCAGCAUGAAUAAAACACCUUUUUUAUGUAUUAAACA
rnacentral:lncRNA from 1 species